rnacentral:lncRNA from 1 species
AAGACCAUAACCCUAGGGUGGGGAUAUAAGUGAAAGUGCAAAGUAUCAAGGAUCGCACUAGCAAUGCUUUGCCUACGUUUUGAUGAAGACAAGGUUUUAUUAAAGCUUGAAGAUGGCUCAACAAUCAACAUGCCUAGAGCUCAUUGGUCAUACCUAGACUAUGUUAUAUCAAUAGAGUCAUUAUUCUAAGUAGUCUAGGAUGUGUGCCUUAGUAAGUGAGUAUAGGUGAGGUG